rnacentral:rRNA from 1 species
GAUUACGGGGUGCAGCAGGCGCGAAAACUUCACACUGGGGGAAACCCCGAUGAGGGAAUUCCAAGUGCCAGCACAUUGUGUUGGCUGUUCUUCGGUCUAAAGAACCGGAGAAGUAAGGGCCGGGUAAGACGGGUGCCAGCCGCCGCGGUAAUACCCGCGGCCCGAGUGGUGGUCGAUAUUAUUGAGCCUAAAACGUCCGUAGCCGGUCUUGUAAAUCCUUGGGUAAAUCGACCAGCUUAACUGUUCGAAGUCCGGGGAGACUGCAAGACUUGGGAUCGGGAGAGGUCAGAGGUACUUCUGGGGUAGGGGUAAAAUCCUGUAAUCCUAGAAGGACCACCGGUGGCGAAGGCGUCUGACUAGAACGAAUCCGACGGUGAGGGACGAAGCCCUGGGGCGCAAACGGGAUUAGAUACCCCGGUAGUCCAGGGUGUAAACGCUGCGGGCUUGGUGUUGGGGGUCCUUUGAGGGCGCCCAGUGCCGGAGAGAAGUUGUUAAGCCUGCUGCUUGGGGAGUACGUCCGCAAGGAUGAAACUUAAAGGAAUUGGCGGGGGAGCAC